rnacentral:tRNA from 1 species
AUUUAAAUAGUUUAGGAGUAAAACGUCGGGUUGUGGUGCCGAAGAGAUAAGGAGUUAUUUUAAAUC